GAUGGUAUAGCUUAACUGGUUAGAGCGUUCCCUUGGAAAAGGAGAUAUAUUGGUUCGAUCCCAAUUACCAUCA
rnacentral:tRNA from 1 species